rnacentral:rRNA from 1 species
UGGGGAAUAUUGCACAAUGGGCGCAAGCCUGAUGCAGCCAUGCCGCGUGUAUGAAGAAGGCCUUCGGGUUGUAAAGUACUUUCAGCGGGGAGGAAGGUGUUGUGGUUAAUAACCACAGCAAUUGACGUUACCCGCAGAAGAAGCACCGGCUAACUCCGUGCCAGCAGCCGCGGUAAUACGGAGGGUGCAAGCGUUAAUCGGAAUUACUGGGCGUAAAGCGCACGCAGGCGGUCUGUCAAGUCGGAUGUGAAAUCCCCGGGCUCAACCUGGGAACUGCAUCCGAAACUGGCAGGGUUGAGUCUUGUAGAGGGGGGUAGAAUUCCAGGUGUAGCGGUGAAAUGCGUAGAGAUCUGGAGGAAUACCGGUGGCGAAGGCGGCCCCCUGGACAAAGACUGACGCUCAGGUGCGAAAGCGUGGGGAGCAAACA